rnacentral:tRNA from 1 species
GAAAGAGUAGUUUACAAUUAAAACAUUACUUUGUGGAAGUAAAAACAGAUAUUAUAUAUCUAUCUUUAU